rnacentral:rRNA from 1 species
UUAAAUUGAAGAGUUUGAUCAUGGCUCAGAUUGAACGCUGGCGGCAGGCCUAACACAUGCAAGUCGAACGGUAACAGGAAACAGCUUGCUGUUUCGCUGACGAGUGGCGGACGGGUGAGUAAUGUCUGGGAAACUGCCUGAUGGAGGGGGAUAACUACUGGAAACGGUAGCUAAUACCGCAUAACGUCGCAAGACCAAAGAGGGGGACCUUCGGGCCUCUUGCCAUCGGAUGUGCCCAGAUGGGAUUAGCUUGUUGGUGGGGUAACGGCUCACCAAGGCGACGAUCCCUAGCUGGUCUGAGAGGAUGACCAGCCACACUGGAACUGAGACACGGUCCAGACUCCUACG